AUUGAACGCUGGCGGCAGGCCUAACACAUGCAAGUCGGACGAGCGGCGGACUGGUGAGUAAUGUCUGGGGAACUGCCUGAUGGAGGGGGAUAACUACUGGAAACGGUAGCUAAUACCGCAUACCAUCAGAUGUACCCAUAUGGGAUUAGCUAGUAGGUGAGGUAACGGCUCACUUAGGCGACGAUCCCUAGCUGGUCUGAGAGGAUGAUCAGCCACACUGGGACUGAGACACGGCCCAGACUCCUACGGGAGGCAGCAGUGGGGAAUAUUGCACAAUGGGCGCAAGCCUGAUGCAGCCAUGCCGCGUGUAUGAAGAAGGCCUUCGGGUUGUAAAGUACUUUCAGUCGGGAGGCGUUACCGACAGAAGAAGCACCGGCUAACUCCGUGCCAGCAGCCGCGGUAAUAC
rnacentral:rRNA from 1 species